GACGAACGCUGGCGGCGUGCUUAACACAUGCAAGUCGAACGGAAAGGCCCUGCUUUUGUGGGGUGCUCGAGUGGCGAACGGGUGAGUAACACGUGAGUAACCUGCCCUUGACUUUGGGAUAAAUUCAGGAAACUGGGGCUAAUACCGGAUAGGAGCUCCUGCUGCAUGGUGGGGGUUGGAAAGUUUCGGCGGUUGGGGAUGGACUCGCGGCUUAUCAGCUUGUUGGUGGGGUAGUGGCUUACCAAGGCUUUGACGGGUAGCCGGCCUGAGAGGGUGACCGGCCACAUUAGGACUGAGAUACGGCCCAGACUCCUACGGGAGGCAGCAGUGGGGAAUAUUGCACAAUGGGCGGAAGCCUGAUGCAGCAACGCCGCGUGCGGGAUGACGGCCUUCGGGUUGUAAACCGCUUUCGCCUGUGACGAAGCGUGAGUGACGGUAAUGGGUAAAGAAGCACCGGCUAACUACGUG
rnacentral:rRNA from 1 species